rnacentral:rRNA from 1 species
UACGUAGGGGGCUAGCGUUGUCCGGAAUCACUGGGCGUAAAGGGAGCGUAGGCGGCGCGGUAAGUCAGAUGUGAAAUCCCGGGGCUCAACCCCGGAACUGCAUCCGAUACUGCCGUGCUAGAGGAUUGGAGAGGUAGCUGGAAUUCUGGUGUAGCAGUGAAAUGCGUGGAUAUCAAGAGGAACACUCGUGGCGAAAGCGAGCUACUGGGACAACUCCUGACG